rnacentral:tmRNA from 1 species
UUCGGAUUCGACAGGGGUAGGUUGAGCUUAAGUCGCACGUCGAGGUUACGGCUCGUAAAACGUUAAACGCCUAUAACUGGCAAAGAAGAAAAUUACUCUUUAGCAGCUGCAUAAGCUUGUUAAAGGACUCUAACCGUUAUCUCCCGUGUAACGGGUAAAGAGUCUCAACUUUAGCGGGAUAAACGUUCAUCCUCCGUCUGCGGAUAGAGCGUUGAAACCAAUCAGACUAGCUACUCGGAAGCCUGUUGGUAGGCUGAAAAGUUAGCGAAUGAUAAUAUACCAACUAAGCGUGUAGAAGCUUAAGUGGCAAUAUCCUUGGACGUGGGUUCGAUUA